rnacentral:tRNA from 1 species
GCCCGCAUGGUGUAGUGGUUUGAGUGUUAGACUAUGACUCUGUAAACCAGGGUUCGAAUCCCUGCUUGGCCA